AAAUAAUCCUGUCAUACAGUGACCAUUCAGAGAGGGAUAAAAACCUUAUAUAUGAAACUUUCACUAAUAACCUGAAACAUCACCACAGAGACAGUUGGGUUAUCCUGUUUGUUUGGACAUCCACUUAUUCACUUGAAAUGCAGGAAAUCUAUUUGAAAAAAACAAAACAAAACAUGAUCAGUUACUUGAUACAAUCAUGAGAUGUGAUCGAGAAAAACUUAUUAAGGAAUUAUUUUGUCAGAGUCAGUCUCUCUCAACAAGCACUUCUCUUUAUUGCUGCCAUGUGAAAAAGGACAUGAUUGUAAGUUUCCUGAGGUCUCCACAUCCAUGCAGAACU
rnacentral:lncRNA from 1 species